AUUGAACGCUGGCGGCAGGCCUAACACAUGCAAGUCGAGCGAGCGGCGGACGGGUGAGUAAUGUCUGGGAAACUGCCUGAUGGAGGGGGAUAACUACUGGAAACGGUAGCUAAUACCGCAUACCAUCAGAUGUGCCAAGAUGGGAGUAGCUAGUAGGUGGGGUAAUGGCUAACCUAGGCGACGAUCCCUAGCUGGUCUGAGAGGAUGACCAACCACACUGGAACGGAUACACAGUCCAGACUCCUACGGGAGGCAGCAGUGGGGAAUAAUGCACAAUGGGCGCAAGCCUGAUGCAGCCAUGCCGCGUGUAUGAAGUAGGCCUUCGGGUUGUAAAGUACUUUCAGCGAGGAGGCGUUACUCGCAGAAGAGGCACCAGCUAACUCCGUGCCAGCAGCCGCGGUAAUAC
rnacentral:rRNA from 1 species